AGUAGCAAACUGUAUCGGCGCAGCCGGCAGCUAGUCGAGCAGCCGGUUAAUUUUCACGAGCCACGUCGCCGCCAGCUUAUUUUUGAGAUAGCGAGAGGCUAACCGAGUUAUUACAAUAAACACCCAAUUUAAAAAAAAAAACGAAAUCUACUUAAAUUUGACAGAGAGUGUUCUACUUUUUAUGUCAUUUUUUGGAGAAAAACAAAUACAUAAACAAAAAAUUAAAGCUUAUAUAUUAUUGCAUCAUAUUUUGGAGUCAUUGCUAAUUGUGUUUUCGGUGUGUAAAGAGUAAAUAAUAGAAGGAUUGCAUAUUUAAAAUAUAGCGUGUCGAUAGAAAUAUUAUGUGCAAAAACUUUAAAAAUUAGUUAAAAGUCGAAAAUACAAUUAUAUUGCCCACAAUUACAUAAAGUCCAUAAACUAAAAAAGAAGUUUUUAAAAACAGUGCGUCGCAUUAAAAAAUUGUAUGCAAAUAGAUUUUGGUCGUGUGUUAAUUGUAGAAAAAAAAGUUAAUUCUAUUGUCUACUUAAAGACUUUCAGCCUUAACUUUUCUAGAGGUCCAAAAAACUCUUCCCGGCUUUAAAAUAUUGAGUGCAAAUAUAUACCUACUUACCAAACAAAAUUAAAUAAAUCUAAAAACAAGUGCUUGACGUGUGGAAAUGGAAGCAGAUAAACAAUAACAUCGUCUACAAAAAUCUAAAAACCAUUAAAUUAUUUUUUUUGGAAAACCAUUGCCGCCUACACCAAAAUAUUUUGUUUAAAUGCUUAACAAUUAUAAAAGUGUUAAUAUUGUGUGCAAAUACUCAAAGACCAUAAAAUUUAUUGGAAUUGUUUUUGCUUGCCGUGUGAAAAAUAAAUCAAAACAUUGGAAGUACAUAUCCUAAGGGGAAAGAAAAACAAUUAUCUGCAAAUACAAGAUGUUGAAGAUAAUUAUGGUCUCAUUUUGAUGUAUUUGAGAGAUGAAAAAACAACUGCUGAAGAUUUUUGCUUAUACUGGAAACAAUGUGCCCCAUUGAGAUUUAACCAGAUGAAAGACUCGAAAAAAACCUCAGAAAUUUUAAAAUUGUGGCCAGAGUUCAAAAAACCUUCUGCUUGGCAAUUGAUAAUUAUUAAUAUUAUUACAUCUUAUUAUUUAUUUAUUUAUUUAAUUAUUUAUUUAUUUAUUUAUUUAUUUAUUUAUUUAUUUAUUUAUUUAUUAAUUAAUAUUUUUAUAAUGGACUCUUAAACGUUUUCUCAUUGCUGUUUUCAUUUAGAUCGAUAGGAGAUAAAAUGUUGACUUUACUAAAACAAAAAGUAUCUUCAGCAUUUGUCUCACAAAAACUGUUAGAACUUGAUGCUCACAAUGAAGAAUCUAAAACAUUCGCUGUUUUGUGGUACCUUCACUACAUAUUUUCCCCUAAUCAAAAGGUUAAUACUGAUCCUAGUGGCAGCAAAAUAAGAAAAAAAUUUUCCAUUGCUGAUUCACAAAAUAGUUUUGCUAUCUUAGCAGACAGCAGUCAGGAAUUAGAAACAAAAAUUAAAUUGCUUCAACUUCAAAAUCGCUGUAUUCAACCAAAACUGUUAAUUGUGGGACAAUUAACAAACAUUAAAUCCAUUAACAUUUAUUUAGAUAAUAUAAGGUAUCCAUUUUGUAACAUAUUAAAAGCAUUUGAUAUACUUUUUAAGUUAUUUUUUGUAUUUAACUUACAAUAUCCCGAAGAAUCGGAACUUUUUUACAAUUUUAUUCAAAACUGUUUUUUUUUAUUACAAAAAAAAUAUACUAAAAUUUCCUCCAUUAAACAUGAGUUGUCCAGCAAUGUAUAAAACAUAAACAAACUUAUUUGUGAACUGUUUUUAAAACAAUUUAUGUACAAUUAUUUUAAAAAUAAAACUUUAUUUUUAAUUAUUAAAUAUUAAAAGUAAAUGUAUAACUUUACAUAAA
rnacentral:misc_RNA from 1 species